UACGAAGGGGGCUAGCGUUGCUCGGAAUCACUGGGCGUAAAGGGCGCGUAGGCGGCUAAUUAAGUCAGCGGUGAAAUUCCACAGCUUAACUGUGAGAACUGCCAUUGAUACUGGUUGGCUUGAGUACAGAUGAGGUAGGCGGAAUUGACAGUGUAGCGGUGAAAUGCUUAGAUAUUGUCAAGAACACCUAUUGCGAAGGCAGCUUACUAAACUGUAACUGACGCUGAGGCACGAAAGCGUGGGGAUCAAACAGG
rnacentral:rRNA from 1 species